rnacentral:rRNA from 1 species
UACGUAGGGGGCAAGCGUUGUCCGGAAUCAUUGGGCGUAAAGAGCGUGUAGGCGGCUUGGUAAGUCCGCUGUGAAAGUCCAGGGCUCAACCCUGGAAUGCCGGUGGAAACUGUCAAGCUUGAGUCCGGAAGAGGCGAGUGGAAUUCCUGGUGUAGCGGUGAAAUGCGUAGAUAUCAGGAGGAACACCUGUGGCGAAAGCGGCUCACUGGACCAUAACUGACGCUGAUGCACGAAAGCUAGGGGAGCAAACAGG